GAUGAAGAACGCAGCGAAAUGCGAUAGGUAAUGUGAAUUGCAGAAUUCAGUGAGUCAUCGAAUCUUUGAACGCACAUUGCGCCCUGUGGUAUUCCGCAGGGCAUGCCUGUUCGAGCGUCAUUUCAACCCUCAAGCUCUGCUUGGUGUUGGGCCCUGCCCGCUGCGGCCGGCCCUAAAGACAGUGGCGGUGCCGCCUGGCCCUGAGCGUAGUACAUCUCUCGCUCCAGUGCCCGGUGGUAGCCUGCCAGAACCCCAACUCUCGUGGUUGACCUCGGAUCAGGUAGGGAUACCCGCUGAACUUAAGCAUAUCAAUAAGCGGAGGA
rnacentral:misc_RNA from 1 species